rnacentral:lncRNA from 1 species
CAAUCGGUAUCAAUUAUGAUAAAACGUUUUCUUUACUGCAGCAAUAGACGUUUGGGCUAUUAUGAGUAUUUCCCAAAAAAGAAAUGAAAAAAAAAAGUGGAAGGGUUCAUUUGUGUUUUAAGUCUUUUGUAGGGGUUAAAUUUCAAAACCAAGUGAUUGUCUACAAGAAAAAAAUUAUGUCGUGGGUUAAGUAAUCCAACCAUCCACUCCCACGUGCUCUCAAGGCUGGAGAUGGCUAUUGGUUGGGGACCCUAUCCCACCUCCAAACCGGUCUAAGAAAUCCUCUAACAUACCCGCAUGACCCCACCCCUCCCCACAAAAUUUAUCCCCAUACCCUAUUCGUUCUGCUUUACUAAUUGUCAAUUUUUUUUACCAAUCAGUCUUGGAGAAGGCUAAGGUACAUACUAGUACUCUACAUUAUUAAAUUUUUAGAACUUUGGUUACCUCUGUUGUAAUACCCCAAACCUCAAAUCAGUGGCCCAACGAGCGAGCUAAACAAAUCAAUUUAUCCCUUGAUGCCAAGCGCUAAAAAACCCAUUAAAGUCUACAAAUCGAUAUACAAUUACAAUCGUCUCCAAAUAAUGAAAAUUUGACAGCAGUCCCAUAAUUUCCAAUCUUCAUCUUCUCCAAUAAUUAGAUCUCGUUCCGGUAAAACUCCAAAAAUUUCAUUCCUCACCUGAGGGGAAAAAUAAGGGUCAGCUUGGAAACCCAGUUAGUUACCAACAACCACAACUUGUUGGAUCAAAUAUGUAUAAAAGAUCUGAUUCAAACAUGAGUUUUUUCAUAACUUUAGAGAGAACAGAAAGAAUUUAUUUCCAAAAGACUUUUGUUGUAACAUACACAAAGAAAAACAAUUUUCAGUAAAAGAGAUUUAGCAAGACCAAAAGUUCUGGCAUCCAAUAAACUUGAUAAUUCAAUUUCGAUAGAAUAUUUCAAUAUUUCGAUCAUCACAAGCUCAAACCUUAGUAACUACGGUCACCUUAUCCCGUGACAAGGCCCAGAACCACACAUAGGCCGGUGGUAAGUCCCGGAAGACACUAGUUUCUGUGCCAAUACUUAACCCCCAUUGGCUAGGGUCCAUAUCAUAGAGACGAGCAAGCUUCAUUAAAAAAAAAUUGGGAUUGUUCAACGAAGAUUAAUCAAAUAUUUUCAGUGUUACAGGUGGUUUCUAAAAUCAAUCGUUUCAUAAUUGAUCCAUAUUUCCAUGGAACACGUCAUGAUAAUAAGAAAAUUUAUUUCAACUGUUUCAAAGACAAGAAUUCAAUCAUAAAUGUACCGUAAGUGGUAGAAAAUAAAUUAGAAAAUUUUUAAUCAUAACCGUCAGAUAUGCCAAUCUUACUGCCAGGAACAACAUAUUAAUCUUUCCUCUUAAUCGGACAUAAUCUCACCAUUUGAUUCGUAGCCAAACAUCUCCUUUUGGGUUGAACCAAUGCCUCUUUUUAACUGAUCACCUAUUCUCCUCCAUGCUUUCAAAAUGCCCUUGAGAACCAGUAGCAGAGGCAGCCCAUGUACCACAAUAGAUCAACCCACAAGCUACAGCACAGACAACCACUGGAACAGCCUCUAAGGAGACUUAACAUGGCCAUCAAAACAACCCAAAUCAGUGCCCCCCAAAGCAGCAAAAGCCUCCCAGCACAGCAGCCACUAUCUGCCUCCCCAAACCACCACACAUCAGAUUCGACACUGCACAAACGCUUGCUAACAUGGGCAAAGGUUACCUCGUAUCUGGAGUGCCUCGCUAGUUCCAACUUCUUUUAUCUCUGUUCCACAAUCGCAGCCCUCUCUCUCUCUCUCAUCGUCCGCUAGGGUUCUUUCUCUACUUCUCUUCGGUCUCUCUAUCUCUUCCUAUAAAUUUUAAUAUAGGUAUAAACGGUGCCCCCAAUAAAGACCAACUGAACUCUUAAAAUUCUCUACCACUCUCUCAAAGAUGGUUACCCAAUUCUUGGAAUUACAAAAACAACCCACUUAAAGGAACAAAAGCCCUAUAUUCUCCACAAUUACAAAAUGAGCCAUGUUUGUUCUUCUGCACACCCAUAUAAAAUUACAAUACCAGCCACAUUACAUCUUUCUUUUAUCCAUCAUCCCCUUACUUUAAUCAAUUCUCCGCUGCCAAUUGUAAAAUAACCUUGGGACCAAACAUCAAUCGAAUGUAACAGUCAUCGGGAAUUUUUCUUAAAUAAUGAACUUGGGGUACCACAUCUGUUUUCUUUAUGUCUUGUAGACCGCUAGCCACUAAGUGGCUGCAACGCACAUCAGCCUUGAAGUUUAAGUUUUGUAAAACGGGCUGUUUUAAACCACCUGGGAACGAUUUUACGGUUUAGCCGGUUCAACCACGUUUUUCUUCAGUUUUUGUGGUUUUUCACCUAAAUGGUUUUUGUUGUUGAAUUGGACCGGGAUAAGGACUGGUUAACCGGUUCAACCGGCUGAUCCGGUUUUCAAAACACUGAUUUGCAGUAUGAUGAUUUUCUUAAUGCACUUCUUUUAAAGAAAAUAUGUGCAU